rnacentral:rRNA from 1 species
GGCCUAACACAUGCAAGUCGAGGGGUAGAGGUUGCUUGCAACCUUGAGACCGGCGCACGGGUGCGUAACGCGUAUGCAACCUACCUUAAUCAGGGGGAUAGCCCGGAGAAAUCCGGAUUAACACCGCAUAAAAUCACAGGAUAGCAUUAUCCAAUGAUCAAAUAUUUAUAGGAUUAAGAUGGGCAUGCGUGACAUUAGCUAGUUGGCGGGGUAACGGCCCACCAAGGCUACGAUGUCUAGGGGAUCUGAGAGGAUGACCCCCCACACUGGUACUGAGACACGGACCAGACUCCUACGGGAGGCAGCAGUAAGGAAUAUUGGUCAAUGGAGGCAACUCUGAACCAGCCAUGCCGCGUGCAGGAAGACAGCCCUCUGGGUCGUAAACUGCUUUUAUCUGGGAAUAAACCUUUCUACGUGUAGGGAGCUGAAUGUACCAGAGGAAUAAGGAUC